rnacentral:lncRNA from 1 species
AAAUGAAAAUACUGAAAUGUAUUCCUUUGUUAUAUGGGCGGGCUCCCAACUUUAACACUUGAAAUGAAAAGACUGAAAUGUAUUCCUCUGUUCUAUGGGCGGGCUCUCAACUUCAACACUUGAAAUGAAAAGACUGAAAUGUAUUCCUCUGUUCUAUGGGUGGGCUCCCAACUUCAACGCUUGAAAUGAAAAGACUGAAAUGUAUUCCUCUGUUCUAUAGGCGGGCUCCCAACUUCAAUACUUGAAAAAUAAUACUGAAAUUUAUUCCUCUGUUCUAUGGGCGGGCUCCCAACUUCAACACUUGAAAUGAAAAGACUGAAAUGUAUUCCUCUGUUCUAUGGGCGGGCUCCCAACUUCAACACUUGAAAUGAAAAGACUGAAAUGUAUUCCUCUGUUCUAUGGGCGGGCUCCCAACUUCAACGCUUGAAAUGAAAAGACUGAAAUGUAUUCCUCUGUUCUAUGGGCGGGCUCCCAACUUCAAUACUUGAAAUGUAAUGACUGAAAUGUAUUCCUUUGUUCUAUGGGCAGGCUCCCAACUUCAAUGCUUGAAAUGAAAAGACUGAAAUGUAUUUCUCUGUUAUAUGGGCGGGCUCCCAACUUCAACGCUUGAAAUGUAAUACUGAAAUGUAUUCCUCUGUUCUUUGGGCGGGCUCCCAACUUCAACGCUUGAAAUGUAAUACUGAAAUGUAUUCCUCUGUUCUUUGGGCGGGCUCCCAACUUCAACACUUGAAAU